rnacentral:lncRNA from 1 species
GAGAUGUACAUAAUAAAAAGGUAAUGAUUCCUGUCCAUGUUUGAUAGGAAUAAGGUUUUAUUGGUUCCAAUUUCUCCAUUCUGCUAUAACCCGUUUUUACUCAUUUUCUUCCUAGUGAUAUAGUAAAACUUGAUUUCUUCCAUUAAGGUAGAUUCUUUUCUCUUUAUUCCUCUACUUUUCUGCAGGCAGCUGGAAGAAAAUAUUAGUCCUCUGAAUUUACUUAUCCAUCUUGCUGUGACAACUCAUCGUUGUUGAUGUCACAUUCACCUUCUAUCCUUAGUCUUUUUAUGCAAAUACAUUAUAUCCUUUUUUUUCCCCAUCGUGGCCUCCAGAAGCCAUAAUCAGAGUUUUAUUUCUCAAACCACAGAAGGCUUGCAUUAUGCUUUUUUAAAAGACCAUGUCAUCCUUUUAAGCCCUCAUUUUUAGGCAUUUUUAAUCUCUGAGAAAAUUAAUACAAGGUACAACAGACACUAACCCUCCCUUUUCUGCUAAAUUUCACACCACGUCUAUAGUCUACAUAACCUGGCAUUUUUAUUGUUUUCUCCUUCACUCUACCCAGGUUUAUUGCAGUUUCUAAUUUGAGCUCACAGUGAUAGCCAGACACUAGCCUGCUUCAUUUUCAAGAGGAUUUCUCUGUGUGUGCUGACCCUGAAGCUUAGAACUGUGAACCACAGAAAAAUAUACAUAAUGGAACUUAGAAGGAAAAAAAUGAUAACUGAAGAACAUUUGCUUUUUAUCUCACGAGAUUGCAGAAUAAAGACUUGCAUACUUUAUAGUUCCAAAUACUGGUGUAUUAUCUGUGUAUGUAAUUUAAAAGAUAUCACCACUCGUAUGCUCUUUUUUCUUGUACAUCACACUUGAGACCAUAUAACUGUGCUCCCUUCCAAUCCUUUCCCUAAGCC